GGCCUAUUGUUUAUGAUUUUAGGUYUAGCCUGCCCAAUGAAUGAAUAAUUUUAAUGGCCGCGGUAUAUUGACCGUGCAAAGGUAGCAUAAUCCUUAGUUUUUUAAUUGAAAGCUUGUAUGAAGGGUUUAAUGAGAAAAUUACUGUCUCUAUUUAAAUUUAUUAAAAAUUUAUUUUUAAGUAAAAAAGCUUAAAUAUUUAUAGAAGACGAGAAGACCCUAUAGAGUUUUAUAGUUGUUAUAUUAAGUUAAAAUUUGGGAAAAAUAAAAUUUAUUAUAAUUAUUAUUUUAUUGGGGUGAUUGAAAAAUUAAAAUAACUUUUUUUGUAUAUAAACAUUAAUUUAUGAAAAAUUGAUCCUUUAUUUAAGAUUAAAAGAUAAAAUUACCUUAGGGAUAACAGCGUUAUUUUUUUUUAGAGUUCAUAUUAAAAGAAAAGAUUGCGACCUCGAUGUUGGAUUAAAAGAAAUUAUUGGUGUARAAGCUAAUAAAUUAGGUCUGUUCGACCUUUAAAAUUUUACAUGAUCUGAGUUUAAACCGGKGKAAG
rnacentral:rRNA from 1 species